UCGCGGCUAUAUUACACUAAAAACACCACUUCACGUACGAACGCCGAAGUUAAGCAACGUCGAGCCAGGUCAAUACCUAGAUGGGUGACCACUUGUGAAUACCAGGUUGCUGUAAG